AAUAAGAUUAUUUUUCAGUUUUUUGAUACAAUGUUUUGACUCUUCGUCUUAUUUGAAAUUUUUUGCGAUUAAUAUUUUUAUUUUUACUAGAUGAUAAAACAUGAAUAGUUGACUAACUUUUUAAAGUUUUUUAUAAAUUUUUUAAAUAAGAUGAAUGGUUAAAUGUUGGACACAUAAAA
rnacentral:pre_miRNA from 1 species